GAUCUGGCUGUUGUGGUGUGCAAAAUCCUGUGUGGCCUCCCGUGUUUUGUUUUGCCACACUGCAACACUUUCACAGA